CAAGAAACAGAAGUAGAUAUUUGAGACCAAAUUUUUGGCGAAGAAGAUGGAAUAAAUGGCAAGUGACGGCUCUGGCAGUAAUCGUGGUGAUUAAAUUGUUCAAAACUUUUAAUCAGGAUGGUGAAACAGAAAUUUCGCCCAGGAACCAAAAACAAGCAUUUAAAGACAUGCUAUUUGAUUCUCUGGCUCGUCAUAUUCACCUCUCUCCUGUGUUACUUCUCUUUGCCAUCUGUAAUUUCAUACGUUCGUUUCGAUGCUGUUAUCAAUUUUCGUAAUCUGUUACGUUUGAGACAGACAACUCAAACAGGUUUUCAACACAGCUGGUUAAGAAUGCAUCGGGCUAGAACUGACUGGCAGGCGAUGUUAAAACCGUGCUCAGAUCAAAUGGCUUGGGGAACCUUGAAAUCAGGCUGGGGUAAGGUUAAAAGAACUUCUGCAAGACGUAGUUAUGUCAUUUACAAAGAUAUCCAACCUUCUGGUCAGUUUUCGAGGAUAUUUAUUCAAACGCGUACAGCUGGUGGGCAGGAAAAAACUAUCGGUGGUGAUUUUUGGCGAGUGUUCUUAACAGGACCAGCAAACGUUGCAGCUUCUGUAUUUGACCAUGAAAAUGGUACGUACGAAGCCAUCGCAUUGCUUUUGGAGCCUGGAAACUAUAGUGUUCUUGCUUAUCUCGAUUAUACUUUGUGCGAUGGACUGAGAGAUCCUCCGGAAAACUGGUUCCGAAUUGGGAACAAGUAUGGAAAAAGACAACGUGAAGGAAUUCUUGGUUUUCUUGAUCACUUCAUUUAUGAGCCUUUGUCAGGAGGUGAAAUAAUAACCUUUGAAGUUUCACCAAAUAAAUCAAGUUCAGGAAUUGACGGAUUACCCAAAAUCACUUGCGCGCAAUCUUGUCGUUCUCUCUGGAACGGCUUUGGACGUUGGAAGAACAAUGUUUGGUCGCCAUAUAUUCCUGUUGCAAGCCAUUUGUCAACAGCAGAGAACCGAACAGCUCGUAGGGGAACACUGUGGUUAUUUGGGGACUCCUUGGCAGUGCGAUUUUUUCGUUCACUAAAAAGAAAACCGCUGUGCAGUCGAAUAUUCAGGGAAUGUAGACGCAGUUAUAACUGGUUGUACCCACUGCCUGGCGAGAAUGAGGCUCUCGGAAAAUUGCAAAAUGAUGACCUUGAUUUUCAACCAACUAUAAUACUUGACUCAAUCAGAGAUGUUCUACGUGAUAGACUUAUGAAAGAUUCGCACAGUUUAUUGCUUUUGAACCUUGGAUUACACUACGUACCGUCAUUAAAUUUUACGAGUUUUCAAAAGUUGAUCGACGACGUCAUAGAACUAUUGAUCGUGCGUGAGAAAGAACUUGGGAGUCAUGCGAGGGUGGUUUGGAAAACAACAACGUCGAUACGGAAAGAAAAUGGUGCUUCGCGAAAUAGGACCGAAUCAAGAUUUUUUACCGAACAACGUGUCGAAUUAUUUGAUGCAUACGCCAUGUCAGCGAUGUGUAACGCUGGGAUUGAAGUCUUAGAUGUGUUUCCAUUAACCGCCUCGUUUUUGGAGGGCACAGUGGACGUCGUUCACUACAGGAACAAAGCUAAUGUGUUUAUGACCGCGGAAAUAGCUUUAGAGACUUGUGUUAAGGCUGGACACGCAUUUAGGAACACAAGAGUUUGUAUCAAGUAAAUUAUAUGUAUUCGAUAUAGCUAAUUCUAUAUUCUGGAUUUUCAACGAUAAUUUAACUGCCUCACCCCUCCCGUUACGCCUAUACUCUUAUACCUCAGCCGUCAAACGAAGAAUAUAGCUAAUUCAAUAUAGCUAAUUCUACAAAUGCUCCGAGUCUCUGCAAUUAUGAAUUAAGUUAAGGCCUGGUUAAAGUUAAGACCUGGCAAUAUUCUGGAUUUUCAAAGAAAAUUUAAUCGCCCCACUCCUCCUGUUACCAAAUAACUGUGUGAUCUAAACACUUAAAAUCAUUUAAGUGAUGCAUGUAAAACCUUCGAAUAAACUGUCAUUUUUUGUGUAGGUUCGGUCGACAAUAUAUAGGUUUCUAAAACAUGAUUCCCCAAUAUGCAAUAUCCCAAUCGCCACAGUCUUAGGACCUUAGGUGGUUAUAAGAUUCGCAUUUUACAGGUGCUUUUCUUGCAGGUGCCAGUCCGAACUUGUCGAAAUAAACGCAAACUUUCUUUGAUAGCUUUGUACACGUGUUUAUCAUUGUGCAAUCGUCUGUCAGAACGGGAGAAUAUAACAAACAAUAGUUUUGAGAGGAAGGAUCGAAAUGUUGAUAAAAAUACACCGCUAAUAGCUCUUGCCAAGAUAAAUCUAUUAAACCUUAGAAUAUAAGCCAGACCUAUGCAAGAUUUAAUGAGAAGAUUCGUAAUCUUUGAACGCUUCAAAUUUCCUCAGGCCAAGAAAAAACUACCAAACUGCCCGUCCGGCUGAGAGCUGAGCCAAAAGGUUAAUUUGUCAAUGUUGGUAAAAAGCCUGAAGCAAUGUAGGAUUCGUCAUUCAAUUUUCGCCGUUAUUGCUAUAGCUUUUGUUCUUUUUUAUUACUUGUAUUGCUGCUCGGGCCUUUUCUUCGACGUUACCAUCAUUUUUCACAAUGGCUUACCUUGGUUACAGUAUGAUAUUCAGAAACAGACAGAUCACCUAAGAAAUUUCACACGCAAUUGGUUAAGGAUGCAUCGGGCUAGAACUGACUGGCAGGCAAUGUUAAAACCGUGCUCAGAUCAAAUGGCUUGGGGAUCUUUGAAAUCAGGCUGGGGUAAGGUAAACAGAACUUCUGCAAGACGUAGUUAUGUUAUUUACAAAGAUAUCCAACCUUCUGGUCAGUUUU